rnacentral:rRNA from 1 species
AUGCAACUAACAAAAUUUUUGCCCGAGGGAUUCGAAUUAGCACCGCCCGAUCGUAUUUCCCCUGAGUUAAAAGAAAAGAUAGGAAAUUUCGCUUUUCAGAGUUAUCGUCCCGAUAAAAAAAACAUUCUUGUGAUAGGCCCUUUUCCCGGUAAGAAAUAUAGUGAAAUUGUCUUUCCCAUUCUUUCCCCUGAUCCUGCUACGAAGAAAGAUGCUCAUUUCUUAAAAUAUCCCAUAUAUGUAGGGGGAAACCGAGGAAGAGGACAGAUCUAUCCUGAUGGUAGGAAGAGUAACAAUACAGUCUAUAAUGCUACGUCAACAGGUAUAGUAAGAAAAAUACUACGUAAAGAAAGGGGGGGGGGGUAUGAAAUAUCCAUAGUUGAUGCAUCAGAUGGACGCCAAGUGAGUGAUAUUAUACCUCCCGGACCAGAACUUCUUGUUUCAGAGGGGGAAUCCAUCAAGCUUGAUCAACCAUUAACAAGCAAUCCUAAUGUGGGAGGUUUUGGUCAGGGGGACGCAGAAAUCAUGCUUCAGGAUCCAUUACGUGUCCAAGGCCUUUUGUUCUUCUUCGCAUCCGUUAUUUUGGCACAAGUUUUUUUGGUUCUCAAAAAGAAACAGUUUGAAAAGGUUCAAUUGUACGAAAUGAAUUUCUAG